rnacentral:rRNA from 1 species
ACUUACCAGGUCAAGACAUGGGCGUGAUUGACAGGCUAAUGACUUUUCUCGAUUCCAUGGAUGGUGGUGCAUGGUCGCACUUAGUUGGUGCAGUGAUUUGUCAGGUUUAUUCCGGUAACGAACGAGACCUCGGCCUUGUAAAUAGCUAUGCUGCUUACAGGGACAUUGGCGGCUACGCCAAGGAAGCUCGAGGCAAUUGCAGAUCUGGAAUGCCCUUAGAUGUCCUGGGUCGCACGCGUGCUACAAUGACGCCACGAACGAGCUUGCGUGAUGAAAGUUACGCAUAAUCAGCAGUCGGCGUCUUAAGGGAUAGUCUCUUGUAACUGUGGGACUCCAACUAGGAAUGUCUCGUAAGCACAAGUCAACAUCUUGUGUUGAUUACGUCCCUGCUCUUUGUACACACCGCCCGUCGCUCCUACCGAUCGAGUGUUUAGGUGAAUUUGAUGGACGUAAGGAAGUCAAAUAAACCUGAGCACUAGAGAAGGAGAAGUCGAUCAUGC